rnacentral:rRNA from 1 species
GAUGAACGCUGGCGGCGUGCCUAAUACAUGCAAGUCGAGCGCAGGGACGAGAAGCUUUCUUCUGUGAUGUUAGCGACGGGCGGGUGAGUAACACUUGGAUAACCUACCUAUAAGACUGGGCUAACUUCGGGAAACCGGCGCUCAUACCAGAUGAUAUUUUGAACCGCAUGGUUCAAAAGUGAAAGACGGUCUUGCUGUCUCUUAUAGCUUGUUCCGCGCUGCAUUAGCUAGUUGGUAAGGUAACGGCUUACCAAGGCAACGAUGCAUAGCCGACCUGAGAGGGUGAUCGGCCACACUGGAACUGAGACACGGUCCAGACUCCUACGGGAGGCAGCAGUAGGGAAUCUUCCGCAAUGGGCGAAAGCCUGACGGAGCAACGCCGCGUGAGUGAUGAAGGUCUUCGGAUCGUAAAACUCUGUUAUUAGGGAAGAACAUAUGUGUAAGUAACUGUGCACAUCUUGACGGUACCUAAUCAGAAAGCCACGGCUAACUACGUG